AGUCGAAGUUAGGGUUUCCCAUGGAAGACGUAAAAUGGUUUUCUGAAGAGAUCACAUUUCCUCCCAUGUUCGGUAAUACUUGGCAAUCCCCAUACAUUUUUCCUUCUUCGUUGUGUAUAUAUAUAAGCUAAUUAUUAAAAGAAACACCCCAAAAUUCUGGUUUCUUUUUACCAGCUUCACUUGAACCUAGCCGUCUCUGUGUCAACAAUCUUAUGUCGGUUGAUCUUUGAAAUUUCAGAAUUGAAUUCUUGGAA
rnacentral:misc_RNA from 1 species